rnacentral:lncRNA from 1 species
ACCACCUGGCUGACCCACUGUCACUUGGCAGCUCAGCGGUCCCUGCUGAGCAGGACAAGGACUGAGGACAUCCGCGGAGGGUUUCACAUAGAUGUAACCGGCUGAGGCUGGAGCAGUUGCUGUCGGGUAUGUGGGGAGGAACACUGUCACCUGGCAGCUCAGAGGUCCCUGCUGAGCAGGUCAGGGAUUGAGGACAUCUGUGGAAGAUUUCGCACAGAUGUAACCUGCUGAGGCUGGAGGAGAUGCUGUCAGUGGUCCACAGAGCAUCCACUCCAAUGUCUGAAAUAUGCCGGCUGCUCCCCAGACGAAUGAGAACAAGAAGCUAGGAUGAGCUAUGUUGAUGUGAAAAGUAUCAAAAUAAAACUCCCUGGAAAACAAGAAGCAACCGGAGGAGUGUGACUCUUGUCUCUCCUCAGCCCUGAGCUCAGCUGGCCCUUCCAUAGAGCGACAUCUGCAUGGUGUGGUCUGCUUCACCUCUGCCAAGUUUGUUGGAGUAGUGAAAAGGCUUAACACAGCUCCUGGACUCAGUCCAGCGAACCACAGUUUUUUGGGCUAGGUACUUAGAAAAUGCAUUUUUAAUAUGCUGGAAAAGUAAAUGCCAUGCCCAUUAAACUUUCAGAACC